UUCAAUUCCGGGUCAAAGGUUGUACCUGUCGUGUGGCGCUUUUGUAGCUGUAACGAUGAGCAGUUGUUGUGAAGAGCAGGUGGACAGUUACUUUACACUAACGUGUGUUUGUGAAGCUCAGUGUGAGUCAGUGUUUGGAUUGUGAGUUUAAUUUCAUCUUUCACUCGGAGUCCUAACGCGGAAGUAGCGGGUCAGGAUGCUGCUCGCUCUGCUGGUGUGUAGCCUGGUUCUGGUCUCUGCCGUGGGGCAGCAGGCGAACGAUGACUGGGUCGACCCGUAUGAUAUGCUCCACUACGACUCAACCACCAAGAGCAUGAGGAAGCCCACUGAGCCAGCUCACUAUGAUAACGUGGUUACCAAGAGGAGGGAAUACACAGAGGACCCCAGCCAGGACGAGCUGGUCACGUUCAAAAGACAAGUAGUGGAUCUACAGAAGAAGAUUGAAGAACAAAAGAAGAAGAUCUCACUCCUCUCAGGUCAGCCGACAUGCAAUCCAGUGUUCAAGAGAUUCCUGACCAGGCUCCUGAAGGAAAUGCAAAAAGUUGGUUUGCCCACUGACUCCUCAGACGCUUUCUAUGAUGCCAAAGUUGGAGUUUCUCAACAAGCCAUCACCGAGAUUCAGACACUUCUGGAUGGUGACGGGAGCUUUACAACUGGUACUCUAGACACUGCCGUCAGUCAGAUACUAGUGGAUCUUAAACGACAUGACUAUGAGGCCUGGAAGUGGCGUUUUGAGGACAGUUUUGGCGUGGAGCUGGACACACUAUUAAAGAUCGGGCUGUGUGUUAUGGUCAUGAUGGCCAUCAUCUGCACGCAGCUGUGGUCGACCGUGUCCUGGUUCGUGCAGUUCACUCGACUCUUUGCUGUCUGCUUCGCUAUCAGUAUUGUCUGGAACUGGUUUUACCUGUAUAAGAUCGCCUUUGCUGAGCGACAAAACAACCUGGCGAAGAUGGACAGUGUAAAUGAAAAGUGCACCGGCAUGAAGAAAAUUUACUGGAGCGACAGUUUAAAAGAGUGGUACAGAAGCACCUGGACUCUUCAGGAUGACCCCUGUAAGAGUUACUAUGAACAUCUCAUUGUUGACCCCAUUCUGCUGGUACCUCCAACCAAGGCCAUCUCCAUGACCAUCACAACUUUCAUCACAGAGCCAAUGAAGCACAUUGGCCAGGGGAUCAGUGAGUUUCUUCGGGCCCUCCUCAAAGAUCUACCUGUUACCCUGCAGAUCCCUGUUCUCGUCACAAUUGUUCUCAUCAUGGUGGUAUUUGUGUAUGUCUGUGUGAACGCAGCCUUCCUGCAUGGCAUCACUGCACCUCUACACCGACGGGGUCCACCUCCUCCUGGGCUCCAACAACCACAACAGCAGCCUCAGGCUCAAAUCCAGGGGGUCGCGGACCUUGAACCCUUAACAGGCAGGGAUGCACACCAGCAAGGUCCAAGGCAGCAAGCCGACAAUGGCAGGGCACACAGGAAUCCGGUUCGUCAGCGGCAUCCCAACAGACCCAUUGAGAAGAAGGCUCGGGUGGUUGUGGAGACACUGCAAUCAGCUGCCCGUAGUGAGGAUGAGACAGACAAUGAGCAACCGGAGGGAAGACGUGAGGUUGAGCAGAAUCUGACCGAGGAGUCAGAUGCAGAAAACCAAAUGGAGAACAAAGAGGAGCCUGAAGAAGCAGCUGACAACAGGGUUGCUGCUCACACAGCCCAAGCAAAAACCAAAACCACGCCCAAGGCCAAACCUAUGAGAGUCAGUGAGAAUCGUACCCAGGACCAACACAGUGGAGACGAUGAGGCACCUAAAUCUCAGCCGGCAGGAAAUCCGCCUUCACAUACUGCUAUCAAGGGGAGUUUAAAAAAAAAAACUGUAAAUAUCACACUUGAGACAUAUGAUAGUGUUUCUUAACUGUGACUAAACGCCGUAUUUGUUGUUUUUAAUGUUUCAGCAGCACCCAUUCACUAAAUGGAUGGAGAAUAUUUACAUGCUUUAUACAUUGUAUAUAUGUAACAAGUAACAGAGAAUUUGAAUUCCAGUGCCUGUGAGUAAAUUUAAGUUAUCAUUUAGGUUUUAGAGUUCUAUCAUCAUUUAUGGACCUGUGGUUGAAGCAAAUAAUAAACAAUACGAUACUACAAUAAUGUAAGUUAAGUCAGACAGUGUCAUACAUGUAGGAAAUCAAACCAGUAAGAUGCUUCAUUGCUAAAAACCAAUCAUUUUAUUUACUCAGUAAAAUGUAAAUGACUUAAUUUAUCUCUCCCAUACUUCCUGGUCAUUAAAAAUGUUAACUUUAUAUGUUUCUCCACUGCAGGACCAUGAGGCCUCAGCAGGACACGGGACCUCCCCUGUGUCUGUGACACAUGUUGAAACUCUGGGAGUUCCAGUUCAGGAGUCGUGCCCAGUGCCUGAGGAGUAGACAUUCACUCUGUUUAGUGACAGACAGUAUUGAAAUGUUCAGGAGCAACAUUUUUAAGACCAGCCAAUGUGGAACCACACCAGUAGUUACCAACUAACUUUAUCUUGCUGAUGUACAGUCAACCAAAUGGGCCUUUCCUUGAGAUGAUGAUUUUGACAAAUAUCCCCAGUCAGAGACGGCGGCGGGAUUGCAGUGUGUCUCGGUGCUAUUUUUUCUAAUUUGAAUGUAAAGAUUACAAAGGGUCUCAUAAAACCUGGCGGUGAAAUCAACACAUAAUGAGUUUAAUCUGAGAUAUUUUUGUUGUCAUUCAUUGUUUUGCUGAAUUAAGUUUUGCUGAGCAGCAGUGAUACCUUAUGUAGUUUCCUGUGAGAAACUGUGUGUGCAAAGCUUAGACUGUAGAUAAAGAUGGAUGACGUGAUGUCCUUCCACUGAAGAAAAAUGAGGCUAAAAUAUCCUGGAUACAGCCGCGACCAUUUUGCUCUUUCGGUGUGAUUUGGAGUCCGUCUGUGUUUUCCAGGUCCCACUGAUACACACUUGACCAAAUCCAGAGUCAGUCUCAGUUGUCAAUCUUGAGGUUUCCUCCUCUUUGCAUAGCUUCCAUCUUUAUACACAGUCAAAGUGUGACAGAUUUGCUGAUUGCUCUUUGUUGCAUAUUCUGAAUUUGUUUUAAUAAUGUAUAAUGCAUCGUGUGACGAGUGGGAAACCUACAACUUGGUGAAAACAGGGAAGAAAUAGCACAGAUGAGAAGGGAGCUUUCUUGUGCUGGCAAUGUUUGAGUUCUAUCUGGCAGUGCCAUAACAAAACAGAACAUAUUAGUGGUGUUUCUCUUAGUGAUAAGGCUAAAGUCGGUUUACAGCAACUUGUAUGCAACACGUGUUCUUUCAGUCUCUAUGUCCUCUGUCACAAGAAACACAAAAAAAUUAUAAUGUUAGUCUAUGAAAACCAUACAAUAGCUGCAGGUGACAUUUCAUUUAAAUCCGAAUAUACAUAUAUCGAAUUAUUCUGUUGGAACAUAUGAAGUAAAGGGAAACAUCUUGAAUGCAGAGGAACAUCUGGCCAACAGUGCUUCACAACCAACACUCAGUUCAUUAAGUUACAGAGACAAUUGGAGUCAGUUUAUUGUGUCAGUGUUUAGAAGAGAAGAAGCUGAACACUAAAGAAUUUAAAUUGUUAAUGUUUUUGCCAUAUUUGUUCCCGAUUUCGAAAUGGAAACUAUUUUGCAAUAUAAAAUAAUUACUAAAAACAAA